UACGUAGGGACCAAGCGUUGUUCGGAAUUACUGGGCGUAAAGGGCGCGUAGGCGGUUCUGUAAGUCCCGCGUGAAAUCCCCCGGCUCAACUGGGGAACGGCGCGGGAAACUGUGGGGCUAGAGUUCAGGAGAGGGAAGCGGAAUUCCGGGUGUAGCGGUGAAAUGCGUAGAUAUCCGGAGGAACACCGGUGGCGAAGGCGGCUUCCUGGACUGACACUGACGCUGAGGCGCGAAAGCUAGGGGAGCAAACGGG
rnacentral:rRNA from 1 species